AAAGCGUAAUAGCUCACUGGUCGAGUCGGCCUGCGCGGAAGAUGUAACGGGGCUAAACCAUGCACCGAAGCUGCGGCAGCGACACUGUGUGUUGUUGGGUAGGGGAGCGUUCUGUAAGCCUGUGAAGGUGUGUCGUGAGGCAUGCUGGAGGUAUCAGAAGUGCGAAUGCUGACAUAAGUAACGAUAAAGCGGGUGAAAAGCCCGCUCGCCGGAAGACCAAGGGUUCCUGUCCAACGUUAAUCGGGGCAGGGUGAGUCGACCCCUAAGGCGAGGCCGAAAGGCGUAGUCGAUGGGAAACGGGUUAAUAUUCCCGUACUUGGUGUUACUGCGAAGGGGGGACGGAGAAGGCUAUGUUGGCCGGGCGACGGUUGUCCCGGUUUAAGCGUGUAGGUGUGUGUUCCAGGUAAAUCCGGUUCACUUUAACACUGAGGCGUGACGACGAGGCACUACGGUGCUGAAGCAACAAAUGCCCUGCUUCCAGGAAAAGCCUCUAAGCAUCAGGUAACAUCAAAUCGUACCCCAAACCGACACAGGUGGUCAGGUAGAGAAUACCAAGGCGCUUGAGAGAACUCGGGUGAAGGAACUAGGCAAAAUGGUGCCGUAACUUCGGGAGAAGGCACGCUGACACGUAGGUGAAGUGAUUUACUCAUGGAGCUGAAGUCAGUCGAAGAUACCAGCUGGCUGCAACUGUUUAUUAAAAACACAGCACUGUGCAAACACGAAAGUGGACGUAUACGGUGUGACGCCUGCCCGGUGCCGGAAGGUUAAUUGAUGGGGUCAGCGCAAGCGAAGCUCCUGAUCGAAGCCCCGGUAAACGGCGGCCGUAACUAUAACGGUCCUAAGGUAGCGAAAUUCCUUGUCGGGUAAGUUCCGACCUGCACGAAUGGCGUAAUGAUGGCCAGGCUGUCUCCACCCGAGACUCAGUGAAAUUGAACUCGCUGUGAAGAUGCAGUGUACCCGCGGCAAGACGGAAAGACCCCGUGAACCUUUACUAUAGCUUGACACUGAACAUUGAGCCUUGAUGUGUAG
rnacentral:rRNA from 1 species